CAAAUUUCUGCCCUAUCAACUUUCGAUGGUAGAGUAAGUGGUCUACCAUGGUUUCAACGGGUAACGGGGAAUUAGGGUUCUAUUCCGGAGAGGGAGCCUGAGAAACGGCUACCACAUCCAAGGAAGGCAGCAGGCGCGCAAAUUACCCAAUCCCGACACGGGGAGGUAGUGACAAUAAAUACUGAUACAGGGCUCUUUUGGGUCUUGUAAUUGGAAUGAGUACAAUUUAAAUCCCUUAACGAGGAACAAUUGGAGGGCAAGUCUGGUGCCAGCAGCCGCGGUAAUUCCAGCUCCAAUAGCGUAUAUUAAAGUUGUUGCAGUUAAAAAAGCUCGUAGUUGAACCUUGGGCCUGGCUGGCCGGUCCGCCUCACCGCGUGCACUGGUCCGGCCGGGCCUUUCCUUCUGGGGAGCCGCAUGCCCUUCACUGGGUGUGUCGGGGAACCAGGACUUUUACUUUGAAAAAAUUAGAGUGUU
rnacentral:rRNA from 1 species